rnacentral:rRNA from 1 species
UACGUAGGGGGCAAGCGUUGUCCGGAAUCAUUGGGCGUAAAGAGCGUGUAGGCGGUCCGGUAAGUCGGCUGUGAAAGUCCAGGGCUCAACCCUGGGAUGCCGGUCGAUACUGCCGGACUAGAGUUCGGAAGAGGCGAGUGGAAUUCCCGGUGUAGCGGUGAAAUGCGCAGAUAUCGGGAGGAACACCUAUGGCGAAGGCAGCUCGCUGGGACGUUACUGACGCUGAGACGCGAAAUCGUGGGGAGCAAACGGG